rnacentral:rRNA from 1 species
CAUUACCGAGUUUACAACUCCCAAACCCCUGUGAACAUACCAAUUGUUGCCUCGGCGGAUCAGCCCGCUCCCGGUAAAACGGGACGGCCCGCCAGAGGACCCCUAAACUCUGUUUCUAUAUGUAACUUCUGAGUAAAACCAUAAAUAAAUCAAAACUUUCAACAACGGAUCUCUUGGUUCUGGCAUCGAUGAAGAACGCAGCAAAAUGCGAUAAGUAAUGUGAAUUGCAGAAUUCAGUGAAUCAUCGAAUCUUUGAACGCACAUUGCGCCCGCCAGUAUUCUGGCGGGCAUGCCUGUUCGAGCGUCAUUUCAACCCUCAAGCCCCCGGGUUUGGUGUUGGGGAUCGGCGAGCCCUUGCGGCAAGCCGGCCCCGAAAUCUAGUGGCGGUCUCGCUGCAGCUUCCAUUGCGUAGUAGUAAAACCCUCGCAACUGGUACGCGGCGCGGCCAAGCCGUUAAACCCCCAACUUCUGAAUGUUGACCUCGGAUCAGGUAGGAAUACCCGCUGAACUUAAGCAUAUCAAUAAGCGGAGGAAAAGAAACCAACAGGGAUUGCCCUAGUAACGGCGAGUGAAGCGGCAACAGCUCAAAUUUGAAAUCUGGCUCUCGGGCCCGAGUUGUAAUUUGUAGAGGAUACUUUUGAUGCGGUGCCUUCCGAGUUCCCUGGAACGGGACGCCAUAGAGGGUGAGAGCCCCGUCUGGUUGGAUGCCAAAUCUCUGUAAAGUUCCUUCGACGAGUCGAGUAGUUUGGGAAUGCUGCUCUAAAUGGGAGGUAU